GACGAACCGAGCGAACGUUAUUCGGAAUCACUGGGCUUAAAGGGCGCGUAGGCGGGCGAUCAAGUCAGGGGUGAAAGCCCCCAGCUCAACUGGGGAAGUGCCUUUGAUACUGGUCGUCUCGAGGGGGAUAGGGGCGUGCGGAACUUCCGGUGGAGCGGUGAAAUGCGUAGAUAUCGGAAGGAACACCGGUGGCGAAAGCGACUCUCUGGCUCGUAUCUGACGCUAAGGUGCGAAAGCUUGGGUAGCAAACAGG
rnacentral:rRNA from 1 species